rnacentral:rRNA from 1 species
ACGUAGGCAGCAAGCGUUGUUCGGAGUUACUGGGCGUAAAGAGUGCGUAGGUGGUUCUCUAAGUCAGGUGUGAAAUCUCCCGGCUCAACUGGGAGGGUGCGCUGAAAACUGCCGAGCUAGAGUAUGGGAGAGGAGAGCGGAAUUCCUGGUGUAGCGGUGAAAUGCGUAGAUAUCAGGAGGAACACCGGUGGUGAAGGCGGCUCUCUGGACCGUUACUGACGCUGAGGCGCGAAAGCGUGGGGAGCAAACAG